GAUGAACGCUGGCGGUAUGCUUAACACAUGCAAGUCGAACGGACUCUUCGGAGUUAGUGGCGGACGGGUGAGUAACGCGUGAGAAUCUGGCUUUGGGUUCGGGACAACCACUGGAAACGGUGGCUAAUACCGGAUGUGCCGAGAGGUAAAAGAGAAAUUGCCUGAAGAUGAGCUCGCGUCUGAUUAGCUAGUUGGUGAGGUAAAGGCUCACCAAGGCAGCGAUCAGUAGCUGGUCUGAGAGGAUGACCAGCCACACUGGGACUGAGACACGGCCCAGACGCCUACGGGAGGCAGCAGGGGGGAAUUUUCCGCAAUGGGCGAAAGCCUGACGGAGCAAUACCGCGUGAGGGAAGAAGGCUCUUGGGUUGUAAACCUCUUUUCUUAGGGAAGAACAAAAUGACGGUACCUAAGGAAUCAGCAUCGGCUAACUCCGUG
rnacentral:rRNA from 1 species